ACUCCUACGGGGAGGCAGCAGUGAGGAAUAUUGGUCAAUGGACGCAAGUCUGAACCCAGCCAUGUCGCGUGCAGGAAGACUGCCCCUAUGGGUUUGUAAACUGCUUUUUAUACGGGAAGAAAUAUAGCUACGUGUAGUUAUUUUGCCGGUACCGUAUGAAUAAGCAUCGGCUAACUCCGUGCCAGCAGCCGCGGUAAUACGGAGGAUGCGAGCGUUAUCCGGGAUUCAUUGGGUUUUAAAGGGUGCGUAGGCGGAAGUAUAAGUCAGGGUGAAAGUUUGUAGGCUCAACCAUAAAAACUUGCCUUUGAUACUGUAUUUCUUGAGUACAUUUGAGGUAGGCGGAAUGUGUUGUGUAGCGGUGAAAUGCUUAGAUAUAACACAGAACACCGAUUGCGAAGGCAGCUUACUAAACUGUAACUGACGCUGAUGCACGAAAGCGU
rnacentral:rRNA from 1 species